rnacentral:rRNA from 1 species
GGAGGCAGCAGUGAGGAAUAUUGCGCAAUGGGGGAAACCCUGACGCAGCAACGCCGCGUGAAUGAGGAAGGUCUUCGGAUUGUAAAAUUCUUUUGUCAGGGACGAAGAAGUGACGGUACCUGACGAAUAAGCUCCGGCUAACUACGUGCCAGCAGCCGCGGUAAUAGUCCCUACGGGAGGCAGCAGCCGCGGUAAUCCAGCAGCCGCGGUAAUCCAGCAGCCGCGGUAAUA